rnacentral:rRNA from 1 species
UACAGAGGGGGCAAGCGUUAUUCGGAAUUAUUGGGCGUAAAGGGCGCGUAGGCGGCUUGGCAAGUGGAUGGUGAAAUCCCUCGGCUUAACCGAGGAACUGCCGUCCAAACUGCUUUGCUUGAGGCCGGGAGAGGUGAGUGGAAUUCCCAGUGUAGCGGUGAAAUGCGUAGAUAUUGGGAGGAACACCAGUGGCGAAGGCGGCCCACUGGACCGGUACUGACGCUGAUGCGCGAAAGCGUGGGGAGCAAACGGG